UACGUAGGGCGCAAGCGUUGUCCGGAAUUAUUGGGCGUAAAGAGCUCGUAGGCGGCCUGUUGCGUCCGCUGUGAAAACCCGGGGCUUAACCCCGGGCUUGCAGUGGAUACGGGCAGGCUGGAGGCAGGCAGGGGGAGAACGGAAUUCCCGGUGUAGCGGUGAAAUGCGCAGAUAUCGGGAGGAACACCGGUGGCGAAGGCGGUUCUCUGGGCCUG
rnacentral:rRNA from 1 species